GCCGGAUGCGGUGGUGCAGAUCUGUAAUCCCAGCAGCUCAGGAGGCUGAGGCAGGAGGAUUGCAAGUCCAAAGCCAGCCUCAGCAAUUUAGCGAGGCCCUAAGUAGCUCAGCAAGACCCUGUCUCUA
rnacentral:sRNA from 1 species